rnacentral:tRNA from 1 species
GGAGAGGUGGCAGAGCUUGGCUGAAUGCGCCGCACUCGAAAUGCGGUGUCCGACCUUCGGACCGGGGGUUCGAAUCCCUCCCUCUCCG